GGUAUGGUAGCUCAAUUUGGCAGAGCAUCAGACUUCCAAUCUGACGGUUGCGAGUUCAAGUCUCGUCCAUAUCA